rnacentral:rRNA from 1 species
CCCUUAGAUGUUCUGGGCCGCACGCGCGCUACACUGAUGCAUUCAACGAGUUUCUUCCUGGUCCGAGAGGAAUGGGUAACCUUUUGAAAGUGCAUCGUGAUAGGGAUAGACUAUUGCAAUUAUUGGUCUUCAACGAGGAAUUCCUAGUAAGCGCAAGUCAGCAGCUUGCGUUGAUUACGUCCCUGCCCUUUGUACACACCGCCCGUCGCUACUACCGAUUGAAUGGUUUAGUGAGAUCUUCGGAUUGGCGCCACUGCGGCUCAGCAAUGGGCUCGGUGGAUGCCGAAAAGUUGAUCAAACUUGAUCAUUUAGAGGAAGUAAAAGUCGUAACA